CUGGGCUAGACAACGGUGGACCGUCCUAGAGAUAGGAUUUUCCCUUCGGGGACUGCCGGUUCAGGUGCUGCAUGGCUGUCGUCAGCUCGUGCCGUGAGGUGUUGGGUUAAGUCCCGCAACGAGCGCAACCCUCGUCCUUAGUUGCCACCAUUCAGUUGGGCACUCUAGGGAGACUGCCGGCGUUAAGCCGGAGGAAGGUGGGGACGACGUCAAGUCAUCAUGGCCCUUAUGUCCAGGGCCACACACGUGCUACAAUGGGCGGUACAAAGGGUUGCAAACCCGCGAGGGGGAGCUAAUCCCAAAAAGCCGCUCUCAGUUCGGAUUGGAGUCUGCAACUCGACUCCAUGAAGUUGGAAUCGCUAGUAAUCGCGGAUCAGCACGCCGCGGUGAAUACGUUCCC
rnacentral:rRNA from 1 species